ncrna:Panagrellus redivivus microRNA prd-mir-7939b precursor
CGUGAGCCCUCAUGGCAUUCAUGUUAUCAUUCAAAUCAUGAAUGUUCUGGAGGCCCGUGGC